GCACGUGCCCGCGCAUCAUUUUCUGACGGCACUAAUCUGGAAGCUCUCUCCUUGGGCUCGUGGCAUCGCCUGGUGCCCGCGUGCCAGAAGACUACUGUCCCAAUUUUUCAACUCAGGAUAAGACAUUUAAGUCUAUAUCGACGAUUAUACUAACUUUUAAAUAUUGUGUGAAAGUUAUAGCAUAUCGACGUUUUUGGGGACUCGGUGGCAUCAGUCGGUUUGCUUCGUUUUACAUUAGGAUAACCGUAUUUUGAUCUAGUCCAUUUUUUUCUCUCGAGAACGGAUAACGAGGAGGAAGACACUUCGACCAUGGUUGUGUUUACACAGAAUGACUGAAACUAUAUUUCCAAAGAGCAACCGAUGCGAGGGACGACGCGAGGGACGAGUACAUUUAUGGAUGGUCUUGGUAGGGCACAUUGGAACUCCAUUACUGUGUGAAUAGCCUACAAUUGACUUUUGCUUCCAGGACUCUACCUUUCGUUCUACCUUUUGGGUCUGGAGUUUGUGGUUCUGUCUCUCUGGGAUUGUAGUUUUGAGGGAGAGUGUGGUGUCAUGUCUUGGAUAUAGACCUUGCUAUGAGUCUGGUGUGGAAAGUACCUCGUGGAAGGUGUGCAGCGGGCUACAGACUGGAAGGACUCGACAUCGGCAACUGAUAGGCUACCCCCGUUUUUACCGAGCGUAAUGCACCUGGCAUGAAGACAGAGAAUGGAUAUUAUUUGGGAACUAUUUAUUAUUCUUCACGCCAAUUUCAUCAUCUGUGUAUCAGCUCAGCCAAAUGCACCUAAAAUACAUGAUGGAUGGUGGGCAUACAAGGAGGUGGUUCAGGGGAGCUUCGUACCAGUGCCGUCAUUUUGGGGGUUAGUGAACUCAGCGUGGAACCUGUGCUCCGUGGGGAAGAGGCAGUCUCCCAUCAACAUCGAGACCAGCCACAUGAUCUUUGACCCCUUCCUCACGCCCAUCCGGCUCAACACGGGAGGACGCAAGGUAAAUAAACACUCAACAAUGUUACUCUCAGGGUGCGUCCAUAAUGUCACCAUAUUCCCUAUAUAGUGCACUUACUCUGGGCUCUGGUCAAAAGUAGUGCUCUAAAUCCAGAAUAGGGUGUUAUUUCAGACGCAGUCUUAUUGGCUGAGGUGAUGGAUGUUGCUGUAUUGUCGGUUCCCUUCUGCUUUGUUUGGGGAACAUUGUGUGGUUCUACAAUGCUGUUGUAUGGUUUGUUUGGCAACAUGACAUGUAAGGAUCCCUGAUCAAUGUUGCUGGCUAAACGCUUCACUGAUUUUUAUCCCACUGUUUGUCACAGUGGAGUUCUUUACAGAGGAUCCCGAUGGCUUUCUAAUUCAUGGAUUCAACUCUACAUUGGCAGGAUUUAACCAUAAUACAUAUUGCUUCACACACACACAGUAAUCUGUUACCACCACAGAGGACAAAACACAAUCCCUUGUGAGGGAUUACCAUGAAACACAACACACACACUCAUGAAUUACCAUAUGACAUUUGUGUUCCUAGUUGCCAUAGCGUAGAAACAACAAUAGCAAAGUGUGGUACCCCAAUGCACCCAGUGCCAUAUAAUAACAGAUCAUUUGAACAUGGGUGGAGACAGGAUGUGCUCCAGAGUUCAUGGUUCCAUGUUCAGGUGAUUACUAUUAUGAGGGUGUGUUUACGUGCCAGGGGUUGGUACAGGGUUACCCCGGGGCCAUUCCAGGGGAAACAUGGGCAUGGGCACCCAUAAAGAUUAUGAGAGAGAGACUGUAAUCCACAUAUACUCUGUUCAAUUGCAACGCCUAUUACUAGCCGGUUCAACCUCUCUUUCGUAUCGUCUGAGAUCCCCAAAGAUUGGAAA